AUCAACGCUGGCGGCGUGCCUAGCACAUGCAAGUCGAACGCGAAAGUCCCGCAAGGGAUCAGUAGAGUGCAAACGGGUGAGUAACGCGUGGGUGACCUGCCUUCGAGCGGGGGGAUAACGUUCCGAAAGGGACGCUUAAUACCGCAUAACAUCCUGCUUUUGAACAAGUGGAGAUCAAAGCUGCGAUCGCAAGACGUAGCACUCGAAGAGGGGCCGCGCAGUCCGAAUUAGCUAGUGGUGGGUUGGGGGUAACGGCCUACCAAGGCUUCGAUCGGUAUACCGGCCUGAGAGGGCGGACGGACACACUGGGACUGAGACACGGCCCAGACUCCUACGGGAUGGCAGCAGUAGGGAAUUGUUCGCACAUGGGGCGCAAGCCUGACGACGCAACGCCGCGUGGAGGAUGAAGACCUUCGGGUUCGUAAACUCUUUCGACCGAGAUGAAUACUCGCUGACCGAAUACGUCGGCUGAAGCCUGACAGUAUCGAGGGAAGAAGCCCCGGCUAACUCCGUGCCAGCAGCCUGCGGUAAUACGGGGGGGGCAAGCGUUGUUCGGAAUUACUGGGCCGUAAAGGGUUCGUAGGUGGCCUUGCUAAGUCAGACGUGAAAUCCCUCAGCUCAACUGGGGAACUGCGUCUGAGACUGGCGGGCUUGAGUGCAGGAGAGAGGAACGCGGAAUUCCAGGUGUAGCGGUGAAAUGCGUAGGAUAUCUGGAGGAACACCGGUGGCGAAGGCGGCGUUUCUGGUACUGCUACUGACACUGAGGAACGAAAGCCAGGGGAGCAAUACGGGAUUAGAUACCCCGGUAGUCCUGGCCCUAAACGAUGAAUGCUUGGUGUGGCGGGGUAUCGAUCCCUGCCGUGCCGAAGUUAACGCGUUAAGCAUUCCGCUCUGGGGAGUACGGUCGCAAGGCUAUGAAACUCAAAGGAAUUGACGGGGGCCCCGCACAAGCGGGUGGAGCAUGGUGGUUCAAUUCGACGCAACGCGAAGAACCUUACCUGGGCUCGAAGUGCAGAUGAUCGUCGGUGAAAGCCGAUUUCCGCAAGGACAACUGCAGAGGCGCUGCAUGGCUGUCGUCAGCUCGUGUCGUGAGAUGUUGGGUUAAGUCCCGCGACGAGCGCAACCCUUGUUCUCUGUUGCUCCAUCAGGUUACGCUGGGCACUCUGAGGAGUACUGCCGGUGACAAACCGGAGGAAGGGGUGGGGAUGACGUCAAGUCAGCAUGGCCUUUAUGUCCAGGGCUACACACGUGCUACAAUGGGCCGGUACAAACCGUCGCGAGCCCGCAAGGGGGAGCUAAUCGGAAAAAGCCGGUCUCAGUUCGUGAUUGCAGGCUGCAACUCGCCUGCAUUGAAGUUGGAAUCGCUAGUAAUCGGCGAUCAGCAUGCCGCGGUGAAUACGAUUCCCGGGCCUUGUACACACCGCCCGUCACAUCACGAAAGCUGGCCUGUACUAGAAAUCGCUGUGUUAACCCGCAAGGGGGACAAGCGCUAAGGUAUGGUCAGUGAUUGGGGUG
rnacentral:rRNA from 1 species